AAGCGAAAGCAUUUGCCAAAGAUGUUUUCAUUAAUCAAGAACGAAAGUUAGAGGUUCGAAGGCGAUCAGAUACCGCCCUAGUUCUAACCAUAAACGAUGCCAGCUAGCAAUUGGGUGUAGCUACUUUCAUGGCUCUCUCAGUCGCUUCCCGGGAAACCAAAGCUUUUGGGCUCCGGGGGAAGUAUGGUUGCAAAGCUGAAACUUAAAGGAAUUGACGGAAGGGCACCACCAGGAGUGGAGCCUGCGGCUUAAUUUGACUCAACACGGGAAAACUUACCAGGUCCGAACAUAAGUGUGUAAGACAGAUUGAUAGCUCUUUCUCGAAUCUAUGGGUGGUGGUGCAUGGCCAUUCUUAGUUCGUGGAGUGAUUUGUCUGGUUAAUUCCGAUAACGAACGAGACUCAAAUAUAUUAAAUAGAUGCUUUCAGGAUUAUGGUGCUGAAGCUUGUGUAGCCUUCAUUCAUGACUGCAGUAAAAUGUAUAAGUGUUUGAAUGUGUUUAUUCAAGUGGAGCCGUACCUGUUGGUUUGUCCCAUUAUAAGGACACUAGCUUCUUAAAUGGACAAAUUGCGUCUAGCAAUAAUGAGAUUGAGCAAUAACAGGUCUGUAAUGCCCUUAGAUGUCCUGGGCUGCACGCGCGCUACAAUGAAAGUAUCAACGUGUAUUUCCUAGACCGAGAGGUCCGGGUAAACCGCUGAACCACUUUCAUGCUUGGGAUUGUGAACUGAAACUGUUCACAUGAACUUGGAAUUCCCAGUAAGUGUGAGUCAUUAACUCGCAUUGAUUACGUCCCUGCCCUUGUACACACCGCCC
rnacentral:rRNA from 1 species